rnacentral:lncRNA from 1 species
AAAAAUCAUGAGCUAACAUCUCCUUUCUUCAUCAUCUUCUGAUUGAUUCUCUGCCUUUCAGCUUCUUGAGGAUCCUGCAUGUGAUACACAACUGCGAUCCGUCCUGGUGUCUCAAUUCUCAAACCAUAACUUUAUGCACAUUCUAGUUUUAAGUUUUUUUCGUUGUAGUCAUUCUUUUAUGAUUAUUAUUAAUUAGCUGUAUGUUUCUUUUUUCAUUGCAUUCAUAUAUCCAUUAAUUCAUAUUCUAAUUCUAUAUCAUGUUAUCUAACGGUUUUUUUUUUUGAUAGGCCAAUGUUAGUUGUUAAUUGUUAGUAAAAUAAUUUCUUCGCUAGGAUUCGAACCCUGAACCUUCACCCAGCAAAUUCCUUCAUUCCCUUAGCUCACCAAGUGAGCUACCCUUCCCUCAUCAUGUUAUCUAAGGUAAGCAACAAACAGAAGAAACAAUAUAUAUACAACAUGAUGCAUUCUUUUUUAAGUUGAAUGGGUGUGCACAAUCAGAAAUAUUUUUACACAGAUGUGUCUAAUGAAAGUCACGCAUUUAAAAGCAUAUAUAUUUAAUUUUAUUUUAAUUAACUUUAAAACUUAUUUUCUGAUUUAACUAUUCAUCAUUGGAUGUAUGUAUAAAAAAUGUUAAUACUGUACAUUACCAUUAAAUCUUCUUUUUCACUUUUCUCUAUGGUGUGUACUUAAUUAAUUUGUUCUUGCAAAUCUGAUAUAUGUGUUGUGGUAAAAUACAGUUAUCUCCCUAAAAGUGUGACUUCUAAAAAAAAAAGUUGAAAGUGACUUCUAAAAGUUAAACUUUCGAUUUAUGAGUUCAAAGAAUGGUCUAAGUUUUUGAAAAAAAAAAUUAACUGAAAAAAUUAAAUAUUUGUUUGUCAUAACCUAUUUUUUUAAAAAAAUUGUUUUCAAAACUAAAAUCUUAAAACAUCAAGAGAUCAGAAUAGAUGUUUCUAUUUAUGUCAUCAAAUUACAAAUUUUUAAAACAUUUCAUCAAAACUUUUUUUCUUAAACAGAAGUCAAACAAGCUUAUGUCCUUUUUUCUUCUGGUAAGUGACCCGAAAUAUAAUAUCCUUAAAUACUAUUUAAUGAUAUAUUUUUUUUAUCAGUGGGGUCCAACUUUUUACUUGAAUAAUUUAUAAAUUUUUCACUUGAACUAAUCUCAGUUACUUAGUAUACAAAUUAAGGGUCGGUUUGAUUAUAAUUUUUAAAUUUGUUUUCUGUUUCUAAAAAUCUGCUUGUUUUUAAAAACAAUUUUUAAUUUUAGUUUUUAAAAUUAAAAUAUCGUAACAGUUAAAAGUUGUCAUUUUUUUGUUUUCAUAUUUAAAAAAAAAUUAAUGUUGAAAGACGCCUAUUUCAUACAUUUUUUUCUUGAAAAACUAUUUAUAAAAAUUGUUUAAAAAAUUGCAAUAAAACAUACCCUAAUUAAUGGUAAAAAAUAUGUUGGAAACAGGUUAAAGAAGAAUGUCUUGAAGAGGAUUCAAAUUUGCCUGUUUGAUUGCAGUUUUUGAAAAUAUGUAUGUUUGAUUGCCGUUUUUUAAAACUAUUAUUGAAAAUAUUGCUUUCAAGAUAUAAUUGUUUGAAUUAGAUUUUUUUCAGUAUUAAAAAAAUUGUAAUUUGAAAACAAAAUAACGUCUUUUCACUAUUCUUCUUUUUUUUAGUUUUAAAAACGGAAAUUGAAAACUGUUUCAGACAUAUUUUUCAAUUUUAAUUUCAAUAUUUAAAAACAGAAAUCUAUUUUCAAUAACUGUGAUCAAACAGUUUUGUUUUUUCCUUAAACUUAGGGAAUUUUAUUUCUACACUCUAGAACUUAUUUUACAAUUAGGAAUUGAAAGAGAUGUAGGAAAAUGUGGAAUAAGAUAGAAGAUAUGAUUAGAAAAUGAAAUAAAUAAGAAAAAAUGUUGUGAAAAUAUAUUGAUUAAAAAUUAAAAAUUAUGUAACUCUAAUUUACAAUGUGUUUUUUCUUUUGUUACAACGGAAGCUUAAUUUGCAAUGUGAUUGACUGGUUGUUUGAUACACUAGUACGGAUCUCAUUUGUGAGCCACAUCAAAUCAUUGUACCUCGUUGGAUAUACAGCUAGCUGGAAGUUGCAACUACUUUUGCAACAAAAGGGUAACCAUGUACGAAAUACUGCCAGGUAAUAAAUAUGCUUCUAGAGACAUCUUUUGUUAUGUUUUUUAAUUGGCCAAGUGAAGAAAAACUCGAAACCAAACUGCAAAAUAUUUUUGGAAAAUGUGUUCACCUCGAAUGAGGAUGGGAAAGAUAGGGAAAAAAAUAGCUGAUGAAUGUAAUAGAAAUAUAGAUUGGGGAUUGGGGAAAAUGGUUGAAGUGGAAGUGGAAAUUUUGCUUGGGCGCAUUUUUUGUUCACGGUGUGAAGAGGUGGAGGAAAAUAAAGAUAAGAAGAAAGAAGAGAGAAAGUAAAGAUGUAAUAAAUAAUUUGAUUAACAAAGAAUAGAGAAAUAAAUAGAAAAUGAAGGUAAAAAAAAGUGAAAGUAUGUAUAUAUCAUAACUCGUACGAGAAUGCAAUAUGUUUUUUAACUAUAAAUUGUGUCUAUUUGUUGAACUAUCUUGGCAUAACUUACAUUUUUCAUGUAAAACAGGUUCAAAAAGUGGAAAUGGGAAAGAAAAUAAGGAAAAAUGAAGAAAAAGUAGAAAUAAACAAAGUGCAUGGUUGUGCUAAGCACGAUCGUGGUUGAUUUAUAGAGCACGACGUCUACAUUUGUAAAGCAUGGCCUUUGAUGUUUCAAAGAGCACGACUAUGCUCCUUAUAAAGCACGGUCCUGCAUGCUUAGUGACGCAACCCACUUGUACUUUGAGUUUAAAAGGAAAUUUUUGAGAUUACGAAGAAAGACUUAUUUUGAGUUCUUAUUAUUGGAGUGAUUUUCUUUGAAGGGCUUCUUUUGAGGUUCUGAAGGCCAUGGGGGAGUAAGAGAAGAGACUACUUGAGGAUAGCGAUUGGUUUAUCUCUUUCUCCUAGUUUAUGAUGUUAGCUGCACUUAGGAUUGUGUUUAUGUUCUUUAUGUAUACAGUAUACAAUGAAUUGCAAAACAUCUUUCUUGAGAGUAUGAUGCAAUUGAUGUUGAGACCCAGUUUUUAGUCUAAUAAUUUUUUUUUUGAAAGCAAAAUCUUUAUUGAUAAGGAAAGGUAACCAAGAGCAAAAAGGUAGCUCAAAGAAACAGUACAAGAUGCAGCACCAAAGUUCCACACAAAGGAUCACAAGGACAGCAAAAAGAAAAAGAGAACAGAUGCAGAACAGAAAGCAUUACAAGGGGCAGAAAAUUUCCAUUAUAGAAAGCCACGAGCCAAGCUUCAAUAGACCAAUAAGCAAGGAUAACAACAAGUAGGAACUAGCAAAAUAACACAGCUUCAUGAUUACAGCAUAAUGUGCAAAUACCAGUAACACAGUUUUUAGUCUAAUAAUUAUUCGAUUCUGAUUUGAAUUAUCUCUCUAUUUUAACUUUAUAUUUCGAUCGAGUAUACUUUUGGUUGAUUAGCAUUACUUGACCGUCGUGUAUUAGUUAAUGGGUUUGAAGGAUAAUUGAUUGUAAUAAAAGAUAUUUGAC